CUUGACAAAAUAUAAGAGGUCCAGCCUGCCCAGUGACCUAUGUUCAACGGCCGCGGUAUCCUAACCGUGCGAAGGUAGCGUAAUCACUUGUUCUUUAAAUGGGGACUAGUAUGAAUGGCAUCACGAGGGUUAAACUGUCUCCUUUUUCUAAUCAGUGAAACUAAUCUCCCCGUGAAGAAGCGGGGAUUUUUCUAUAAGACGAGAAGACCCUAUGGAGCUUAAAACAAAUUUACACCUGCUUUAAUAUAUUUCCCUUCCUGAACAUUCACACGAAUAAUAGCAUGACUGAUAAAUAGUUUUCGAUUGGGGUGAUCAUGGAGAAAAAAAUAACCUCCACGACGAUAAGGGAACAUCCCUGAGCCAAAAGCCACAACUUUAAGCACUAAAAAAUUAACGCACUUUGACCCAAUUACUUGAGCAACGAAC
rnacentral:rRNA from 1 species